ACGAACAGAACAGAAAGUAAAAGUGCAUUGUGGCUGUUUAGAUAAAAUCAUAUUUGCUUACCAAAUGCUAUUUCAUUUUUAACAUUACUGCUAUGUUGAUAUUGCUCUAAAUAUAUUUUAAAGGAAGAGUGGCAGACCUUAUCAAACUUUGUUAGACUUAGUUUUUCUGUUACUGGGCUGUGAUUUUACUCUAGGCAUCUUCAGAAAUGAUUAAAAGAAGUCUGGUCAUACUACAUACGGACGUGUUUAAGAAUCCCGUGUAUUUGAGUAGCUGUGUUGGGUUUGAGGCCAACAAAAUGUGCAUCGUCAGGAGAUCUGGGCUGAGCUCACUAACGGAUCAAUAUCAUAUUUCACUGAUCAGGAGGCACCUGGAGCUCCGAGCUCAACCUGUCCAGGUGCAAGUCCAUCAGUGAGCAUGUGUGAACGCUUCUUUGGAAAGUCCGGUGGUUUUGGAGGUAAAGGCUGGUUCCCUUGAGAGACGCUUGCAAAAUGAGGAAUAACGUACCAGUGUCAGUGCUGAGCUGCCACCUACUCACACCCACAGAUUCAGGACUUGUUAAAAACAUAUUAAAGUCAUACUAAAUUAUAACCAUUUAAAUGACACUGUCAAUUUUUAUGCAGAUACGCAACCUAAACUGUUAAUUUAUUUAAACUGGACUUAACUUUCAACAUUAUAAAAUACUUCCUUGUUUCACACAGAUCAAGAACUACACUCACUCAUUCAGUUUUUCUAGUAGUCUCGAUUGUUUAUUGCUUAAAAUGGUGCAUAUACAUACAGAAUUACAUUUCAAAUAACAAUAACAAGACAAACGUGUGUGGCAACAAAAUUUAUUUUUUAAUACUUUCCCAGUUGUCAAAUGAUUAAAACAUGAACAUCUUUUUGACAUGUAAUGCAUCUGACGCAUGAGAGCAGACAGCACAUGCUCCUCACAAGCACACAUACACUCUCACACACACACUCAUAUAGGCAUAUGCAUAUAGACAUUGACACAUUUUUUCUCCUCGCUCAGAGAAGAGGUGUCCGGGAAGACGAGAAAGAGGAAGCUGAGGUUCUCAAGUGUGUUUGGGUGUCUGUAUGUGCAAAAGCACGUGUGGAAGUUCAUUAAUCGGAGGUUUGUGCAUGUAUGUGUGAGUGGCUGUGCAUGUACUGGCAUAUGUGGUUUCUUCUUUAAAACAGGCGCUUCUCAUAACUGAAAAAUCAAAAGGAGAUGAGAAGAAAACUAUUAAUAUGAAGCUUUAUAUUUUAAUGCAUUUACAAUGUACAUAGUCUUGACACUAUACAGUUUUAUGUGUGAAUGUGUUUAUUCACCUGUGCAAGCUGUGCACUCCUCCCUCCAUUUGAGCGGACACGGUUCUCUUUUCAAACCGAAGUUCACCAGAAUACAUCAUUGCCCUGAGAUGAAGAGAAACGUGAGUAUAUUUGGGUUUGUAUCUAUUUUAGCAAUGCAUUAUGGGGUUAAAGGUAAAGUAUAUCAUUUCAUUGCUACUAGCUGCAACAUAUGAAACUGCAAAAAUAAAAAAAUAU